AUUGAACGCUGGCGGCAUGCCUUACACAUGCAAGUCGAACGGCAGCACGGGGGCAACCCUGGUGGCGAGUGGCGAACGGGUGAGUAAUACAUCGGAACGUGUCCUGUAGUGGGGGAUAGCCCGGCGAAAGCCGGAUUAAUACCGCAUACGCUCUACGGAGGAAAGGGGGGGAUCUUAGGACCUCCCGCUACAGGGGCGGCCGAUGGCAGAUUAGCUAGUUGGUGGGGUAAAGGCCUACCAAGGCGACGAUCUGUAGCUGGUCUGAGAGGACGACCAGCCACACUGGGACUGAGACACGGCCCAGACUCCUACGGGAGGCAGCAGUGGGGAAUUUUGGACAAUGGGCGAAAGCCUGAUCCAGCAAUGCCGCGUGUGUGAAGAAGGCCUUCGGGUUGUAAAGCACUUUGUCCGGAAA
rnacentral:rRNA from 1 species